AGUGAACGCUGGCGGCAGGCCUAACACAUGCAAGUCGAACGGCAGCACAAGAGAGCUUGCUCUCUGGGUGGCGAGUGGCGGACGGGUGAGGAAUGCAUCGGAAUCUGCCCAUUUGUGGGGGAUAACCUCGGGAAACCGGGACUAAUACCGCAUACGACCUACGGGUGAAAGCAGGGGAUCUUCGGACCUUGCGCAGAUGGAUGAGCCGAUGCCGGAUUAGCUAGUUGGAGGGGUAAAGGCCCACCAAGGCGACGAUCCGUAGCUGGUCUGAGAGGAUGAUCAGCCACACUGGGACUGAGACACGGCCCAGACUCCUACGGGAGGCAGCAGUGGGGAAUAUUGGACAAAGGGCGCAAGCCUGAUCCAGCCAUGCCGCGUGUGUGAAGAAGGCCUUCGGGCUGUAAAGCACUUUUGUUGGGAAAGAAAAGCAGCCGGUUAAUACCCGGUUGUCAUGACGGUACCCAAAGAAUAAGCACCGGCUAACUUCGUG
rnacentral:rRNA from 1 species